ACGGGGUGGCGUGGUGGGGAGUGGCGGGGGUGGUGAAAUCGAUUUCUCGAACGUGGAAGGGCGCGGGCCCGAACCCCGAGCGCGCCGAGCCGAGCCGAGCCGAAUCCGACCGAUGUGCGCAGGCCCAGUCUGGAGUCAUCAAUAGCAGUGGCCAGAAUUCACUGCAAGGUCUCUGGUGUGUCGCGGCUAGCCCUACAGCUCAACUCAACUUUGGUCGCCGAAACUAGGAAAAGACUCCACAGAAAUGUCUGCUCCGGACGGCGCUGCGGCAGGUGCGGGCGGCGAUGGCGAGAUCGUCGGGGGUCCCAGGAACCCCCAGCAGAUCGCCGCGCAGAGGAGGUUACAACAAACCCAGGCACAGGUGGACGAGGUGGUGGACAUAAUGAAGACAAACGUCGAGAAGGUGCUGGAGCGAGAUCAGAAGCUGUCAGAGCUGGACGAUCGAGCAGACGCGCUCCAGCAGGGCGCAUCGCAGUUCGAACAACAGGCUGGCAAGCUCAAGAGAAAGUUCUGGCUCCAAAAUCUCAAGAUGAUGAUCAUCAUGGGGGUCAUUGGGCUUGUGAUAUUAGCCAUCAUUGUGGCGAACUUCAUGUAAUCUAGCCCCUGUGUCUGUGAGAGCGACUGAGGCAAAUUUGCUUGAAUGCAGAUUGGCACUUUGGCGUACAAGGAGACGUCUGGGCGGUUGGCUAAUGCAGCUAAUGCAGGGAGACGCCUCGUUGCCUCGUCGCCAGCACUCUCGCCCCGAAUUCACACGUGCUCGAUCCGGGCUGGGCCGAGCAGGACUCUUUAAGGCGGCAGGGCGGGCCGGACGGAGCGCACCAAAACUAGCUUCAUUACUUUCUUGGCGCAGGAUAUUCUCUUUUUCAUAAGGUGUUAACGUUGUUUUCAAUAAGUUCGAAAAAAAAUGGACACAAAAAAAAGACAAAAAAGGACAUAUAUAUUAGGUACUCUGACGGAAAUUUCGGUGUAUGAGAAUAGUUAGAAGCUAAAAUUAUUUUUCUUUUGUUAAAAUUUGAUAUUUCGGAGCUUGAUGCUUGUUUCCUCCUCGCCACGCGUCGCUCCGCCCGGGCCAGAUUUGAAUGGAUUUGUAGGUGAAUCAUAGGUUCUAUUUCUCCGUACUCCUCUACUAGGAUUCUUCCUUUUCUUUCCCAAAUGAUUUGUUGUCCUCCUAUUAUCGUGAUUCUUCAAUAGAAUAACUUUUUUCUCUCCUGCGUAAGGACUCCAAUAAUCGUUGCAAAUAUGAAAAGUGUAUAGCUUGGUUAUCAUAUCGUACUUAUGGCCCCAAAUUGUAAAUUUCCGUAAGAGGACGGUACAGGUAGAUGUAUGAAAAUAUUAGCUAGACAUAUAAAUAUAUAAAUAUGUGUAAUCUGGUUUGAUUGGAAAUAGGAAUGCACUGUUCUUAUUGUGUACAGAAUUCUAUAACUUAAAGGCAAACAUAUUGUAAAACACCAAGCUAAACUAUGUGUACAAUAGAUGAUAAGAGGUUCUCAUUAACGUGUCACUGCUACCAACCGUAGGGAAGGAAUGCUAUUUAUCGCCCCUUUUAUUACUUGUUUUUCAACUAUGAUAAUAAUUUUUUUAAAUGAAAAGAACGCCUGGUGCUGGUGAUAGAUUAAAGAUAGAACAUAAGCGACAUUCGCACACUUUGCCGUACGAUCGAUCGAAAAAAAAAGGUUUAGCGUUUGAAACGUGAUUGCAGACUUAGCGCAUCAUUUUCUGGCUUGUUUUGCUCCCAAGUUGAGUACUGUGUCACUCUGUCGUUUGAAAAACGUCAGAGCAUGUUAUGUAUCAAAUUAUAAAGUGCAUAUAAAUAUAUUAUUGUUUUGUCAA